rnacentral:lncRNA from 1 species
CUGUUUCAGUAUGUAGUUUCCAAAAUACUUCAAAAUGUUGGCAAAGAAAGCUGUUUUAAUGGGUCUAUAUUUACAUACUGCAAACUUGUCAAAGAAGGCUGCUUCAAUAUGUAGUUUGCAUACUUGAAAACAAAGAAAACUGUCCACGCGUGCUGCCAAACAUAUUUCUAGACAGUAUUUUCCUGGGCUUACCUUUGAUUGUUUAGGCCUAGUUUUGUUGGUGUGGACAUACCUAGUUUUACAUUUUCAUAGUCACAGUGCAAUUUGUUAUACCUUCUAUAUAUUUGAUAUGUAUUCUCCAUGCUUUAUGUACAGGGUUUGACAAAAGUCACUGCAAUUUGAUGUACGGACAUUUCUGCUGAAGGCUGACAGAGCCCCACAUGUAACUAGCAAUCGUAACCAUACUCAUCGACUUCAACAAUCUUGAAAUACAUAAGUGACUACUAAUAAGUGGUGAGCUCUUUUGUGUGAAGAAUGAUCUCAACGUUUGAACAUUCUUUUCUUGUAUCAGCAUAUUUUGUAAAGCCAAGAUUGAUGAGAGAACAUUCAUUGUUAUUAUGUACUCCACUUUGGGCAUUGAGAAAACAUUUGUAUUCCAAUUUUGCCAAUAUUCUAUGGAUGUAUUGAAAUAUUGAAUGUCACCAGUCCUUUAACAGUGGAGUGUUGAAGUAAUUAUACACCUGUUGUUCAGUUGAAAUGUUUCAGACCUAUCUUCCAUCAAAUAUUGUAAGUGCCUUAUAUUCACAUGGAUGCCGCAGUGGCUGUCGGUAAGAUUGCGACUUUGUGUGCUGGCGAUUAGGUGUCUCACACUGAGAGUGGUUUAAUUUCUUAUGGGACUCAACCCAAAUUGUAUCAAACAGUAUACGUGCCUGUUGCAUGUAUUUGUUAUGUAGACACAGAACGAGUGCAAGGUACGUGUGGUCGUUUCUACAGAGAUGUACCUUGGCAGGUUGUUAAUGAGAGAUGAAUCUAUGGGUCAUGCAUAUGGGAUCUCAACGCAAGAAUGUUUUGUUUUUUUGUGUGAAUUGAAAUUCUGUAUUCAUCCUUGUUUUGCGUUGUACAAAUUGCAUUUUCUUAUUUAGAUUUGCAUAUUUUGCUUUUAUGAUGGUAUUUGUGCAUAUGCUUAAACCAUCAAAUCACUGCAUUUGUCUAAUUUUGCUCCUGAGUGUAACGAUGUAGAAAUCAUGUCCAUUGAGCAUAAUAUCAAAGAUGAACAGGCUAGUUAUUCUUGAAACGUUCAUAGCCCUACGAACUUCUUAAGCCCUUCUUAAUACAUUGUCUAUGAUCAAAGUUAAGAAUUCUUAGGGCUACGAACAGUUAGAGAAUAAGGGCUCUGUAUAAGUAUCAGGUAUACAGGAUUGAGUGUACGUUUUAUUAAGAAUAUGUGUUACCUGUUGAAAUAUGAAGUGUGUUCCCUACACAAUAGUACCAGUAGUUGUGAUAGUAAAACUAAAAUAACAAACACCCCAAUAUUGGAAGGCUGUGUAGCAAUACCCACCAACCAUGAUCGAUUACACAUGAACGAAUUGGGUGUUCUUAACCUUUGAACAGCAUCUAUUUACUUGCAGUGGGGUGAUAUACCAAUGCAUCAGUGGAUAGAUUUUUUAUACUUCUCCAUAAAGGGAAAAUCUGAUUCUCACUCAAAGUAAACAUAUUGAUUCUUACCUAACUGUCAAUAAGUAGUUGUGAAAAUGUAAAUAUUUUCAUCCAUUGCGCCAAACUUGACAUUGCCAACUGAACAUUGUAAGUUUCCAGGUAUUUGGCCAUCUUGUCCAUUAAAAAGAUGGCUUAUGCACCAUAGAUAACAGCAUGUGCAAGUAUCGUGAUACAUGUCCUAUCAGUAGCAGUAUAACGUGAUACAUAUCCCAGCAGACAGUUGGUGUAUCGUCUCAGGUUAUAUAUUUACCUGAAAGUAUGUAUGCAGUGUAGAGGCCUACAUGAGAUGAUGGUAGAUGUUCCUUGAAGUACAUGUAAUCACGUGGUCGAAGGUAAUGUAAAAAGUCAGGAGUGAUGUGCGACUAGGGCAGAGAUGCCAACCCUCAUUUAGCCCAAUUAGUAUUUUGGCCAAAAACUGAUGCAAAAAUUAAUAUUUGUUGGGGCCGGAAUUAGUAUUAGCUUUUCCAAAGAAUUUUCAUAUUAAUAAAAAAUUAUAUAUAUAUUCUAAGAACUUGAUAUUGACAUUAUACUCACCUAAAUCAGUAGUAAGUAGCUUGAUACUGAAUAAAAUGUGGCUGAACUUUAUUGUGUAUGCUACAUAUUUUGUCUUGUUUUUUUCGUUAUGAAUACAAUAAAAUUGUAUGGGUUGGCAUCUCUGCUUGGGGUCCCUCCCUGCCCAGGUGCGAGAUAGUGUUGUGACGGUGCUUAUGGCUGGAUCCACUCUCUAGACAUGGUCUUUGAUGAAUUACUUCCUUCAGAAGAGGCUACAAGGUGCUAAAUAGAAGGCAGAAGCAUCUAGUGCAUCACAUCUCCAUGCCAUUUUGAUAAAUACCCGGAACUAUUAGCAUGUCAAGAUCUGAUUCACUUUCAUAUUUGUUAAAUCAAUUUGUAUCCUUACAUGAACUCAUUAUUAGUGGUCACUGGCAUCGACUAUUUAUGAAAAUAUAAGUGUUUUACCCUAUAUUAUGUGAGGUGUGCACAAUGGAUAAAGAUCCAAGCCAUGCAGUAGCAUAACUGGUAUAUUGUGCCAAGGCCCAUUGUCAUUAGGCUACAAGCAGCAUUGUUUGUGGUGUAUUGUUCUUUCGCUUCACAGAAAUUAUGGAACUGUUUCAACCAAAGCAAUUACAUGUUUGUUAUUUUUAUUCCUUGAUAUUUAACGUAACAUAUUGUUUGAAUAAAUAAUCAUAUUUGUUACUAUAUAUUGGUAAAACAUUGUAUUGGCCUAGUACUGUAUUUGUUGCUGACCUACAUUUUGCCAACAAUGAAUCAUUUUUAAAGUUGCAUCUCCCAUCAGCAACUUGGCCAGGAAUUUCCAUUUUUCAAACACAAAGUCCUCCUGUUCUUCUAUAAAUGCAAUCCCUUAUUUUAUUAAUAAUAACGCUUCCAGUCAUCAUAUAAUAUUGUAUAUGAGCAGAUAUUUCAAGAGUAUUACUACAUGGGGCAAGUCCUAUAGUAGUGAACUAGCAACAAUGCCCGUCAAGCCACUGUUGUUAGAACUUACUGUCAUUUGUUGGAAGACUGUUAAUAGACUUGUAUCAGUGUUUACCAGAUUCAAACCAAGGCUGGGGUAGGAAAUGAGUGGGUAUUUGUCAUGGUCGUAUGGAGAUUUACUACAAUGGAAAAUUGUGGAUGCAUUUUCUACUUGUUCUACUUAAAUCUCAACUUAGGAUACAUACUAUUAAUGUAAGGGACUGUUCAUAAUUAAUGGCUUGGGGGAAGGGGGAGAGAAGAUAAUUUUAUAUAUAUCUUUUUGGUGGGGGGUCCACGCAUUUUGUUCUGGAGAGAUAGUCACAUUGUACAUGCUUCUCCAUAAAAAUCAUCACUCCAUCCCCCAGCCAUAAAUAAUAAAUGGUCCCUAAUGCAACAUAUGCAAGACUAAGCACACGUUGUCCCUGUUGUAUUGGGUCUGUAGCAUGUGUAUCCUCUGUCCCCACACGAUCUGACCUCUGAAUUACUCAGGAAUACUCAAUAGGUCUGUUCAAAUCAACCUGGGUACAAUUUUUCUCUUACAAGAAGUAGAAGUGUAAUGAUGUGUUGUAUGGUGUGCAGGGUGGGAUAACAGGCGUUGUGGUUCAGUGUGCUUCUAUGGACACAGGUUGGUAACUUUUCAUGAACUGCAGAGACACUAAAGGUGUGCUUUGUGGAAACCCCUAAGCAGAUCAUGUGAAUCUAAUCAGAGAUUUUGUAGGUCACAGUUGGAAAACCUGGUUCACAGAAUAUGUAAUAGUAUCACACAUUCUCUGACCUUACAAUACACUUCCUGGUGGAAGGCAAGAAGGUCGGGGUAUGAAUAAAUUAUCUAAUGAAGAAUUUGUAAUAAGCCUUUCAUACAAUUGUUUUUGAACUUUCAAAUUUGAAAUAUGAUUUGAAUAUGGAUCUGAUAUUAAGUUUAUUUAUUGUUAUGCAUUUUCUGCUCCUUUGUAUGAACUCAUAAUAAUAUAAACUGUAUUUUAACAAGGAAUAAAUUGUAGCAUAUCAUAAA